rnacentral:lncRNA from 1 species
AUGGAGGGGCAGGUCCUGGUGCUCACUGGCCAAGGCCACCUUCUGGUCUGCCUGACAGCCGUCCUGGAUAGGCAGGUACUGCUGGGCCAGAAGGUGGUGGUCGUGCACUGCAAAGGCAUCAACAUUUUUGGCACUUUCCACAGAAACAGGUUGGAGUACCUGGCCUUCCUUCACAAGUAGAUGAACACCAACCCUUCCUGAGGCCCCCCAUCUGCAUCUUUUGGCAGACCGCUUGAGGCAUGCUGCUUCGCAAGACCAAGCGAGGCCAGGACGUCCCUGACCACCCCAAGGUGUUUAAUGGGAUCCCACUGCCCUAUGACAAGAAAAAGUGGAUGAUGCUUCCUGCUGCUCCCAAGGUUGUGUGUCUGAAGCCUGUGAGAAAAUUUGCCUAUCUGGGGUGCCUGGUUCACGAGUUUGGCUGGAAGUACCAGGCAGUGACAGCCACCCAGGAGAAGAGGAAGAAGGCCAAUAUCUGCUAUUGGAAGAAAAGCAGCUUAUGAGGCUAUGUAAACAGGCCCAAAAGAAUGUGGAGGAGAAAACAAUUACACAGAGGUCCUCAAGACCUAUGGACUCCUGGUUUGA